rnacentral:rRNA from 1 species
AUUGAACGCUGGCGGCAGGCCUAACACAUGCAAGUCGAACGAGUGGCGGACGGGUGAGUAAUGUCUGGGAAACUGCCCGAUGGAGGGGGAUAACUACUGGAAACGGUAGCUAAUACCGCAUACCAUCGGAUGUGCCCAGAUGGGAUUAGCUAGUAGGUGGGGUAACGGCUCACCUAGGCGACGAUCCCUAGCUGGUCUGAGAGGAUGACCAGCCCAACGGGAAUGGAGACCCGGUCCAGACUCCUACGGGAGGCAGCAGUGGGGAAUAUUGGACAAUGGGGGCAAGCCUGCUGCAGCCAUGCCGGGUGUAUGAAGAAGGCCUCCGGGUUGUAAAGUACUUUCAGCGAGGAGGCGUUACUCGCAGAAGAAGCAACGGCUAACUCCGUGCCAGCAGCCGCGGUAAUUC